rnacentral:tRNA from 1 species
GCCGCCGUAGCUCAGUGGAACAGAGCGAUCGCCUCCUACGCGAAAGGCCGCACGUUCGUGCCGGCGGCACCA